UUGUACUUGACAAUUAGAGAUGGGUGGAAAAUGUUAAGUUGGGUGUACAGAGAAAUGCUUCCAAUUACACGGCGACACGGGGCCUUGUACCUUCCCAGCCUCCACCGCCGAACGACUCCAUGAGGCCCGCACACACACAUUAGCAUUUAUAUCUACUGCAACAACACAGAGCACCCUCGUUCUUUGGCUCUACCGUUUACUCUUCUUGUGUGGGGAAAUAAAACUGUAAAAAAAAAAAAGAAAACCCAAAUAAAUAAGGACGCCCUGGCCUCAAGUCGAUGCAGAUAGAACCACCUGGAGUUAGGUUUUCCCUUCUGUCUGAGGGCUCGUGCUACAACAUGCUCGCCUAACCCUGACAAUCGCAGGGCAAAACGAUGCCACUGAGGAGCAAUACAAGCCAGGGAGUCUGUUGAGAUGAUGAGGGUGCUGCUGCUGCCCCUCUGUGUCUGCCGCGGAGAGAAUAGACCAUCAAACUACAAGGCCACGCUUUUAAUUUCCACAUUUGGUUAAAAAUAAAAACAAACCACUAGGCUACAUGUAAAGCUGCAGAUAUCCUGUUAUUUAUAAUAUUGCUUGUAAUUUAACAGCUGCCGUUAAAAUAAAAGUCUGACUGUGAUUUAGACUCUGGAUUUUUUUUUUUGUAGGCGUCUGCAUCUUUUUUCUUGUAUUAUUAUUUUAUUUCUCGGGACAAUGACAUCUGAGGGAGCACGGGCUUGGCUAUUUGAUAAUUUUGUUAACUUUUCACCUCCGUUCAAUAUCCUGUCACAACGGCUGA